rnacentral:rRNA from 1 species
UCAACUUGAGAGUUUGAUCCUGGCUCAGAACGAACGCUGGCGGCAGGCCUAACACAUGCAAGUCGAGCGCUUCCCUUCGGGGAGGAGCGGCGGACGGGUUAGUAACGCGUGGGAAUAUACCCAGUUCUAAGGAAUAGCCACUGGAAACGGUGAGUAAUACCUUAUACGCCCUUCGGGGGAAAGAUUUAUCGGAAUUGGAUUAGCCCGCGUUAGAUUAGAUAGUUGGUGGGGUAACGGCCUACCAAGUCGACGAUCUAUAGCUGGUUUGAGAGGAUGAUCAGCAACACUGGGACUGAGACACGGCCCAGACUCCUACGGGAGGCAGCAGUGGGGAAUCUUAGACAAUGGGCGCAAGCCUGAUCUAGCCAUGCCGCGUGAGUGAUGAAGGUCUUAGGAUCGUAAAGCUCUUUCGCCAGGGAUGAUAAUGACAGUACCUGGUAAAGAAACCCCGGCUAACUCCGUGCCAGCAGCCGCGGUAAUACGGAGGGGGUUAGCGUUGUUCGGAAUUACUGGGCGUAAAGCGCACGUAGGCGGAUUGG